rnacentral:rRNA from 1 species
GGGUGCGAUCAUACCAACAUCAACGCACCGAAUCCCAUCAGAACUCCGUAGGCUUCAGCUAGAGUAGUAUUGGGAUGGGUGAUCUUUUGAGAAGUCAUAGUGUUGCACCCU